rnacentral:lncRNA from 1 species
AGCAUGUAGCCUUUUCAGGUUAUUUUAGAGAGAGGUAUGUUCUCUUUUAUGCAGAUCUUGCAAUGGGGAUUUCUUAAAUAAAGAAAUGAUAGAAAUACUCUUGACGGAAAAAAAAAGAUAGCUGUAUUAGUCAAGAUUCUCUAGAGGAACAGAAUUAAUAGGAUAUAUGUAUAUAUGAAAGGAAGUUUAUCAAGGAGGAUUGACUCACAUGAUCACAAGGUAAAGUCCCCAUGAUGAUUUUAUCAUGGGAGUAUUUCUGUAUAACACCACUACAGUCAAGAUUAGGACAGGUUCCAACAUUUCCCGGAUCCUUCAUGCUGCCGUUUUGUAACUUCCCCUAAAUUCUCAGUCUCCAAAAUAUUUAAUAGCCUUCCAUGAAAACCUUUCAUAUUAUCUUCCAA